ACUAUCUUCUCCACCGUUUCUAUACUCUUCCUCAUUUCUUUUUCCCUUUGUCACCAUUUCCUCUCUUGAUUCUUGCUCCUCCAACUUUGGCGCCUCCCAACAACUACUGGAACCAUGCCGCUCUUUACAACCUAUCAUCUUCCCCAUUCUCCCAAUCUUUCAUCUUCCCCGUUUUCCCUUUUCUCUCAUCUUCAUUCACAACUAACACCGCCAUCUCCACUAUCCUGUCGACUUCUACCAAUGACAGCAAUCCAAUACCCACUGACUCUACUUCCUUUUUCGAUUAUACCAUAAACACCGACUUCUUGAAGCGGGGAUUGUUGGUCGGUGGGUCGAUGGAUUUGGGAGUGUCGGAUGAUUCUCCAUCUGUUUAUAACUUCUUCCAUAACUUUGAUUUUUUUUAAUUAAAGGCAACAACGUGGGUCAAUUUUGGGGACCAUGAUGAACUUCGGUAUUCUCCUUCGUUGGAUUUCAACCAGGAUCAAAAACUUUAGGUUCAAUCUAACUAUUUGAGCAUUUGUUGCAAAAUGUGCAAAUAUUCAAAUUCAUUAAAAACUCCUUAGUCCUAACCCAUACGAAGGUAGCUGUUGUUAAUCAGGACACUGAGUGUGGUGGUGAUUAUAUCAAACUUAUGUCUGGAUACGUUCUCAACUGAUAUGCCUUCUCUACAACAAAGGAUAAAAGGAUUUCAAGAGAAAUUGGAGGUGUCUUUUAAGGAAAUUCAAUCUUCGACCUUUCAGGGGAUCAAAUUCAUUUCUGAAAUGUAUUUCAAAAAGCAAUGAAACAAUAACCCUAAAAUGGUACAUGGCACAAAACCAUCUGAAUGGGGAACUGCCAAAGCUUAUAUACCGGAAUAAAUUUUUAGAAAAUUUAGGAUUGAGAGGCAACAAUUUGGUUGGAAAUCUGUUGCAAGAUAUCUGUCAACUAACUGACACAAUUCCUUCAAAUAAUGACAAUUAUCCUUGCUUGCAAGUAUUGAACCAAAAAUAGAAAACGAAGUUGUUGAGCUCUUAUGCGGAAGAGAUUUUUCAUCAGAUGAACCAUUUCUUAUAUCUUGGUGGCAUACCGGUAAAACAUACAAAAUGGAGAGAGAGAUGAGAAAUAAGGGUGAAGACUUUACCUGCUAAGGCAGAGGAUGAAAUGCUCAUGUUGAUGGGUUGCAGAAAAAUUUAAAGGGUUAAGUUAUGUCUCCAUGUAUAUCCAAGGCUGAGAAAGAAUUUGUAGCAUUAGAAAACUGUGUGGGGAAUUCUCCUGUCUCCAUGUAUAUCCACAUUGGAGGACAAUUUCCAAAUAAACUCAAUGGGUGUGCGACGGACUUCGUGAGGCCGACGCUAACCAUCACCAAGGUGGUUGAAGCUAACUCUUACCCAAAUUGCCUUCUCAAGAAGCUACAUAGGAUGCCAUCUGUACCAAUGCAGAAAACAACACAUUUUCAAGGGAAAGAUGAUAUAGGUGUGAUACCUGGUGAUUGUCUAGGCUGUGGAAAAUAUCGUGUAUGGGGAAAACCUUAAGUUCUUGGUCUUAGAACCAGAUUGAAAAUGUUAUUUUCUGUCGACAGCCAAAAACACCCAAACCAACAUGUGAGUUUACCAUCCUUUUUCCAAUUUGACAAACCUACUUCCAACUUUCUAACAAAUUUUGAGCAGAUAUUGGUGAUCCGCUUUUAGCUUUUUCAAUAGGCACGUCUUAAUUGGUUGUAAUAAAAUUAAAUGUGCGUGCCCACUAAAGGAUCCAGGCACCAAAAACGUAAUUUUUAGAAGGUGAUCUUGGAAAUGUUCGAUCUGGGGAACAUAAGUAGUUUUAUUGUGUUAAAGUUUUUGUCCUAAUUGACACCAUGUACUUUUUUUUGGUGAAAAAUAGUGAUUUUAACA